rnacentral:rRNA from 1 species
UACGUAGGAUGCAAGCGUUGUCCGGAUUUACUGGGCGUAAAGCGCGCGCAGGCGGCAUGGCAAGUAAGGUGUGAAAUCCAUCUGCUCAACGGCUGGGGUGCACUUUAGACUGCCAAGCUAGAGGUCGGUAGAGGGGGGUGGAAUUGCUGGUGUAGCGGUGAAAUGCGUAGAGAUCAGCAGGAACACCCGUGGCGAAGGCGGCCCCCUGGGCCGUACCUGACGCUGAGGCGCGAAGGCUAGGGGAGCGAACGGG